ensembl:misc_RNA Y_RNA Y RNA
GGCUGGUCUGAUGGCAGUGGGUUAUCAGAACUUAUUAACAUUAGUGUCAUUAAAGUUGGUAUACCACCCCCCCCCCACUGCUAAAUUUGACUGGCUUUUA